GCUUUCCUGUGGCUCAGUUGGUAGAGCAAUGCGCUAACAACGCAAAGGUAAUUGGAUCAAAUCUAAGGAAAAGCA